rnacentral:misc_RNA from 1 species
GAUGAAGAACGCAGCGAAAUGCGAUAAGUAAUGUGAAUUGCAGAAUUCAGUGAAUCGUCGAAUCUUUGAACGCACAUUGCGCCCGGCAGUACUCUGCCGGGCAUGCCUGUUCGAGCGUCAUUUCAACCCUCAAGCCCUGCUUGGUGUUGGGGUCCCACGGCCGCCGUGGGCCCUGAAAGGAAGUGGCGGGCUCGCUACAACUCCGAGCGUAGUAAUUCAUUAUCUCGCUUAGGGCGUUGGGCGGCGCUCCUGCCGUUAAAGAACCAUCUUUAACUCAAGGUUGACCUCGGAUCAGGUAGGAAUACCCGCUGAACUUAAGCAUAUCAAUAAGCGGAGGA